CCUACGGGAGGCAGCAGUGGGGGAUAUUGCACAAUGGGGGGAACCCUGAUGCAGCGACGCCGCGUGGGUGAAGAAGGGCCUCGGCGCGGAAAGCCCUGUCAGCAGGGAAGAAAAUGACGGUACCUGAAGAAGAAGCCGCGGCUAACUACGUGCCAGCAGCCGCGGUAAUACGCAGGGGGCAAGCGUUACCCGGAUUUACUGGGUGUAAAGGGGGCGCAGACGGGGAUGCAAGCCAGGAGGGAAGGCCCGGGGCCCACCCCCGGGACUGCUCUUGGAACGGCGUGGCUGGAGUGCAGGAGGGGCAGGCGGAAUUCCUGGUGUAGCGGUGACAUGCUUAGAUAUCAGGAGGAACUCCGGUUGCGAAGGCGGCCUGCUGGACUGCAACUGACGUUGAGGCCCGAAAGCGUGGGUAGCAAACAGGAUUAGAUACCCUGGUAGUC
rnacentral:rRNA from 1 species